rnacentral:rRNA from 1 species
AGAACGAACGCUGGCGGCAUGCCUAAUACAUGCAAGUCGAACGAACACUUCGGUGUUAGUGGCGCACGGGUGCGUAACGCGUGGGAAUCUGCCCUUGGGUUCGGAAUAACAGUUGGAAACGACUGCUAAUACCGGAUGAUAUCGAAAGAUCAAAGAUUUAUCGCCCAGGGAUGAGCCCGCGUAGGAUUAGCUAGUUGGUGAGGUAAAGGCUCACCAAGGCGACGAUCCUUAGCUGGUCUGAGAGGAUGAUCAGCCACACUGGGACUGAGACACGGCCCAGACUCCGUACGGGAGCAGCAGUAGGGAAUAUUAGGACAAGU